CCACGCCGUAAACGAUGAGUGCUAAGUGUUGGAGGGUUUCCGCCCUUCAGUGCUGCAGCUAACGCAUUAAGCACUCCGCCUGGGGAGUACGACCGCAAGGUUGAAACUCAAAGGAAUUGACGGGGGCCCGCACAAGCGGUGGAGCAUGUGGUUUAAUUCGAAGCAACGCGAAGAACCUUACCAGGUCUUGACAUCCUUUGACCACUCUAGAGAUAGAGCUUCCCCUUCGGGGGCAAAGUGACAGGUGGUGCAUGGUUGUCGUCAGCUCGUGUCGUGAGAUGUUGGGUUAAGUCCCGCAACGAGCGCAACCCUUAUUGUUAGUUGCCAUCAUUCAGUUGGGCACUCUAGCAAGACUGCCGGUGACAAACCGGAGGAAGGUGGGGAUGACGUCAAAUCAUCAUGCCCCUUAUGACCUGGGCUACACACGUGCUACAAUGGGAAGUACAACGAGUUGCGAAGUCGCGAGGCUAAGCUAAUCUCUUAAAGCUUCUCUCAGUUCGGAUUGCAGGCUGCAACUCGC
rnacentral:rRNA from 1 species